UACGGGGGGGGGUAAGCGUUGUUCGGAAUUACUGGGCGUAAAGAGCUCGUAGGCGGUGUGUCGCGUCGGCCGUGAAAACCUGCAGCUUAACUGUGGGCUUGCGGUCGAUACGGGCAUCACUGGAGUUCGGCAGGGGAGACUGGAAUUCCGUGGUGUAGCGGUGAAAUGCGCAGAUAUCAGGAGGAACACCGGUGGCGAAGGCGGGUCUCUGGGCCGAUACUGACGCUGAGGAGCGAAAGCGUGGGGAGCGAACAGG
rnacentral:rRNA from 1 species